rfam:Camelus ferus unplaced genomic scaffold scaffold931, whole genome shotgun sequence.
GAGGGUACAGCUCAGUGGUAGAGUGCAUGCCUAGUAUGCAUGUGGUCCUGGGUUCGAUUUCCAGUACCUCCA